ensembl:lncRNA
AUGUGUCACAGGCAGACGCUCCCCGUCCCCGGAAUAUUGAGGUGCGAAGAUCGGGACCUCAGUCACCCCUCUGUUUUGAGCCAUAAUGGUUUGUGCCAUCUGGGAUCAGCCCACCGACUCACCUGGGGCUCGUCACUAAUCAGAGCCAGCCCUGUACUUAAGCCUGUGACUCCCCAAAGCUCCUUGCGAAGUCUUGUGCAUGUUCCAUCACAUUCCGAGCGUUUUCCCGAUCUCCUGUUCUUGCCUGUUAUUGACCUCUCGUUUGUCCCAGACCUCGUUCCUGCCUGCCUGAUCCUCAACGGUACUUCUGUCUAACUCCACGUAAUCCCGGCUUUCGACCACCCGCCUGUACUCCGGAUACGACCACGCCUGACCCCCUGACGGUGCCUCUGUUUAUCCCCGCUCUCCUGGCUUUCGACCCUCUGCCCGCCUACUGGACUCGACCACGCCUAACCCUUGUCUGUACUUCCACAAUAAAGCUGCGCUCUGCGCUUGGGUUUCACUCCUGUCUCUUGUGAUGCGUUACAGAAGACUUCGCCUUCAAUCAGACCCAGCAGAGUCGCAGAGUCCCUUCAGUCCUUGGAGAUGUCCGACCCGGACCAGCGGGCUGUAGGAGGCCCCAGCAUGGCACAUAUCGUCAAACAUCUUGCCGCGGUCCAAGCAGAGCACGGUCAACGACUGGGUCGAGUCGGGGAGUCCGUGCACAACUUAGCAGCAGCGCUCCAGGAUUUCCAGCAGUACACAGUACAUACGGCUGUUCAGGCGCUCGCCGCUACUGCCCCUGUCGAGGCUCCCUCUACCAGAGGAACCCUCGCACCAGCGUUACCACAGUCAGCACUUCAUCUAGCGCCACCUCAGCGAUAUGAUGGCUCACAGGAAGAGCCUUGGUGUGGGCCACGGCCGUGUGGGACCAACAGGAACCUGUCUGUUCCGACCAUGAGGGGUUCAUGCAACGGCUAAGACAGGUGUUUGGUCACUCUACUAGCCUGCAGGAGGCUGCGAGGCGCCUCCUGAAGUUACGCCAGGGCCCACGGUCAGUGUCUGACUUUUCGAUAGACUUCAGGACCUUGGCAACAGAAAGCGGGUGGGAAGACUCUGCCCUGAUGCCCACCUUUUAUCAUGGCCUUAGCGAGUCUCUUAAGGAUGAACUGGUGAACAGGGACUGGGGCAAUACCCUUGAGGACCUCAUCAGCCUGG